CCGCGGGCGGGCGUGGGUCCCGCUGCUCUCUCGGCGCCCCGCCCCGCCCGGCCCCGCCGUGGGACGGGUAACGGUUACCAAGCACUUUCUCAGGCGCGAUUUCUGCUUAGUCAUUGUCUUCCAGGAAACGGUCCCUUCAGUUGGGAGUCAACUCUCGGGCGGCCGCCGCAGUAGCAGCAGCAGCCGCCGCGGCCAGCGCGUCCUUCCCUUCCGCCACCGUCCGGCCUCCCUCGGUCCCGAGCGCAGGCCGAGGUCCCGCCGCGUGGGGCGGCCAGCCUCGCGCUCGGCUCUCCGGCCUCGGGCACCGCGUCCUGCGGGGCGGCCUCCUUCCUCGCCUGCGGCCCCGUCGCCGCCUGGCCCGCCUCCGUCGGCCGCUGCCAUGGGCACGGACAGCCGCGCGGCCGGGGCGCUGCUCGCGCGGGCCCGUACCCUGCACCUGCAGACGGGGAACCUGCUCAACUGGGGUCGCCUGCGGAAGAAGUGCCCGUCCACGCACAGCGAGGAGCUUCGAGAUUGUAUCCAAAAGACCUUGAAUGAGUGGAGUUCCCAAAUCAGCCCUGAUUUGGUCAGGGAAUUUCCAGAUGUCUUGGAAUGUACCGUAUCUCAUGCAGUAGAAAAGAUAAAUCCUGAUGAAAGAGAAGAAAUGAAAGUUUCUGCAAAACUCUUCAUUGUAGGAUCAAACUCUUCAUCAUCAAUGAGAAAUGCAGUUGACAUGGCCUGUUCAGUUCUUGGAGUCGCACAGCUGGAUUCUGUGAUCAUUGCUUCACCUCCUAUUGAAGAUGGAGUUAAUCUCUCCUUGGAGCAUUUGCAGCCUUACUGGGAAGAAUUAGAAAACUUGGUUCAGAGCAAAAAGAUUAUUGCGAUAGGUACCUCCGAUCUAGACAAAACUCAGUUGGAACAGCUGUAUCAGUGGGCACAGGUAAAACCAAAUAGUAACCAAGUUAAUCUUGCCUCCUGCUGUGUGAUGCCACCUGACUUGACUGCAUUUGCUAAACAAUUUGACAUACAGCUAUUGACUCAUAAUGAUCCGAAAGAACUGCUUUCUGAAGCCAGUUUCCAAGAAGCUCUUCAGGAAAGCAUCCCUGACAUCCAGGCGCAGGAGUGGGUGCCCCUGUGGCUACUGCGGUACUCUGUCAUUGUUAAAAGCAGAGGAAUUAUCAAAUCCAAAGGCUACAUUUUACAAGCUAAAAGAAGGGGUUCUUAACUAAGACUUAGGAUCGUAACCUACUGACUUGUAUUUCCUUGAAUAUAAGAUAAAAUUGAGAUGUAUAAAAAUCAGUUACUGCUUGUAAAUGGUGUCAUGGAGGCUGAUAUUCUUCAGUUAUAUUUGACGUGUUAUCUGUCAAGUUUUGAAUACUUUUCUUGCCUCCAUAUCAGUUUACUCAUGUGUUUUCAUUAAACUAUUAUUUUCUAAUUGAAAUUGCCUAUAAAGAAAAUACUUGCAAUAUAUUUUUCCUUUAUUUUUAUGACUAAUAGAAAUGAAGAAAAAUUGUUGUUAGAUAUAUUUUGGGCUUAGGUAUCAGAGUAAUGUAUAUACAUAUUUUUUAUUUCCAAAAAUUAAUUAAUGGCUUCUUAUUCUAUAGUGUAACUAAGCAAUUUAAUUACAAUUAUAAAAACUGAAAUACUGGAAGAUAUUUUUUCUGUUAUUGAUAAGAUGAUUAUAUCCCAGAGUAACUGGAGUGGCUUGGAUCUACUAGUAGGAGAAACAAGAUUAUAGAUUCAUUUUGUGAAGGGGAUCAUGUGUGUAUGGAAUUUUAAAAUGAGUUUUUUGUAUGUUUCAUUUCUGUACCUUUAAUUUCUGUUAUUGAAUAACCAUUUUUUAAAAAAUGAUUUUUCAAGACUUGACAAAUUUCCAAGCUGGUGUUCACAUUUUUUUUUUUUUGUAAACUAUCAGAAUAUAGUGAAUGCCUUUCAAAUAUUUGAGGACUUAAUGUUUAAAAAGCCAUAAAAUAAAGAACAGUAAUACUACCAAAUAAUCGCUUAAAGCUGAAAGCUAAGUUAUCAGUAGUGUAUAUAUAACAGAUAUGUCUUCUGGGGAGAGGUGUAUCCAAUGACUCAAGUUAGAAAGAAUUUAUAUAAUUGGGUUUUUUUCCAGUAAACAUGAAAAGAAGCUACAGUCUAUUACAUUUCCAAAAUACACUGGAGCCUUACAUUAACACAAUGUACUGUAACUUAGAAUUUGUUCUGUAAUGAGUCUAUCUUACAUUCUCAUUCAAGAAACUGUAGUCACCAGAAGGACCAAGAUGUCUUAUAAAAUAUGUUCACAUGGUGUAAAUUUUGCAGACUAUAUUGUGCCCGUGUGCUAGAAGAGUAUCCAUUUAGAGAUAGCCAGUACUAGAUUGGAUCACAAAUAGCUAAUAAUUUUUCUGUUCUCAAAGAAGAUCUUUUAAACAGCUAUGUGUGGAAUGGGAAAUAAAGUUACUCUAUUUUGAAUGAAUGAGCAAACUUCUCCUUACCAGAGUCAACUAGUAACUCAGUUUUCAGUAAUAGGAGGUCUAAGAUUCAUUUAAUUACAUCUCAUUUUUGAACAAAUUUUCUUCCACCCAGCAUUUUCGGUCUUGGGGAAGUGAAAUGAUCAACAGUUCAUCUCUCUGCCAAUUGUACGUUUAGAGAAAUUUGAAGUUGUUUUAAUGAGAAUUUCAACCAUUUGUUUUCAUAAUCAAAUAUACCAACUUAUGAUUCUGAACAUAUUUUUAUAAAGGUAACUUCCUAAUAUACCAGAACUUAUAUACCUAUCAUUUCCCCAUAAAGUUGUUGAUGGGAUAUGUCAUAUUUUUGAAAACUGUGUAACAUAACUUUUGUUAAUAUUUUUAUAGUUUUCAGAAUUAGAAAUACACUUAGGACAGGAAAAUGUUUUCAUUAGAUAAUUCUACUUUUAUGUGUCUAUAAUGGUGUAUUAUAAAUUACAGGCAAAAUAUAAAGCAUUAAUAAAUAUUUAUAAUAGCCUUUAAUUUCACCUGUAUUUUGAGUAUUAUGAAUUACUUAAUUAAAAUAAAGUGUAUUGUAUAUUGUUUGAGUUGUUUGAAUAGUUGAAAGCAUCCUGGAGUAUUAUAUUGAUUUUGACCUAUUUUAAUUCAAAUUGAGUAUGAUUUGAAAAUAAAUUAUGAAUAAUUUUUAAAUAUCCAAGCCAUAAAGCUAUUCAUGCAUUCAUUCAAAGAUUUAUCAAAAACUUACUAUAUGCCAACAACUGUAAGAUAUUGGCAGACAGACACAAAUAAUAACCUCUGUCUUCAAGGAGCAUAUGGUAUAUGUGGUAGAGGGAGAGAGAUCUGUACAUGAACAGGAGCAGUAGAGGCCAUCUGUUAAUGAUCAAAGUGAGGGAAAGGGAUUGGGGGCAUAUAGAAGGAAGUGGGGCUAGGGAAUGUCUACUGCUAGGAGGCUCCCCUUGAAAAAAAUUAGCCUUAGAGUAGGAUGAAACGAUGAGUGGAUAUUCUGACAGAGACCUUUGUUUGCCUUGUUUGUAAAUAGGCUUUUACUGAAUAUGAACAAUUUAUAUGUAAACUUUAGAAAUUCAGUGAAAACACUUUCUUAAAGAGCUUGCCCUGUGGAUAGAAAAGUACCGCUUCUGUUGAGACAAGAGUAAGGUUGGAAACGUAAUAUUUUACCUUAAACAAAAAAAAGAGAGGCUAAAACCUAUCCAUAUCCCCCAAAUAGAAUAUGGCUGUUAUAGUCUCACUACCAGAAAAGCCAAACAAAACUUUAAUAUGUGUCUCUCAACAGUGAAUAAAUGUAUAAAAUGUCAUACAAGA